UACGUAGGUGGCAAGCGUUUGUCCGGAAUUAUUGGGCGUAAAGCGCGCGCAGGCGGUCCUUUAAGUCUGAUGUGAAAGCCCACGGCUCAACCGUGGAGGGUUAUUGGAAACUGGGGGACUUGAGUGCAGAAGAGGAAAGCGGAAUUCCACGUGUAGCGGUGAAAUGCGUAGAGAUGUGGAGGAACACCAGUGGCGAAGGCGCUUUCUGGUCUGUAACUGACGCUGAGGCGCGAAAGCGUGGGGAGCAACAGG
rnacentral:rRNA from 1 species